rnacentral:rRNA from 1 species
UACAGAGGUGGCAAGCGUUGUUCGGAAUUACUGGGCGUAAAGGGCGCGUAGGCGGCCUUCUUAGUUGGACGUGAAAUCCCCGGGCUUAACUCGGGAACUGCGUCCGAUACUGGAAGGCUGGAGUUCGGGAGAGGAAUGUGGAAUUCCAGGUGUAGCGGUGAGAUGCGUAGAUAUCUGGAGGAACACCGGUGGCGAAGGCGGCAUUCUGGACCGAAACUGACGCUGAUGCGCGAAAGCCAGGGGAGCAAACGGG